CAGAGGAGGCAAGCGUUGUUCGGAAUCACUGGGCUUAAAGCGCGUGUAGGCGGCCCGUCAAGUACCUUGUGAAAUCCCUCGGCUCAACCGGGGAAUGGCUGGGUAUACUGUCGGGCUUGAGGUGGGUAGGGGUGCCCGGAACUCUAGGUGGAGCGGUGAAAUGCGUAGAUAUCUAGAGGAACGCCCGUGGCGAAAGCGGGGCACUGGGCCUUACCUGACGCUAAGACGCGAAAGCGUGGGGAGCAAACGGGAUUAGAUACCCCGGUAGUCCACGCCGUAAACGAUGCGCACAAGGUUCACGAGACUCUGACGUCGAGUGAGCCGCAACAAAAGUGUUAAGUGCGCCGCCUGGGGAGUACGGCCGCAAGGCUA
rnacentral:rRNA from 1 species